AAGUCGUAACAAGGUUUCCGUAGGUGAGUAACUACCUUAUUCCCAUUCUCUUUUGUGACUUUAGCUAACUUGUGAUCAAUAGGUGAACCUGCGGAAGGAUCAUUAUCGAGAACGAUUUUUUAAUUAAGAUCAUCUCCCACCCUAUGUUAACUUAACUUGUUGCUUUGACGAACCGUCUGGUUUACCAGCCUUUGGUCUUUUCUAAAGAUUGGAGUGUGUUUGUCAAGGGAUUUUAAACUUCUGUUUAAACUUGAAAUCUGAAUCAAACAAAAUAAUAAA
rnacentral:misc_RNA from 1 species